rnacentral:rRNA from 1 species
CGGGGUGGAGUAAUGUCUGGGAAACUAGCCUGAUGGAGGGGGAUAACUGCUGGAAACGGUAGCUAAUACCGCAUAACGUCGCAAGACCAAAGAGGGGGACCUUCGGGCCUCUUGCCAUCGGAUGUGCCCAGAUGGGAUUAGCUAGUAGGUGGGGUAACGGCUCACCUAGGCGACGAUCCCUAGCUGGUCUGAGAGGAUGACCAGCCACACUGGAACUGAGACACGGUCCAG